rnacentral:rRNA from 1 species
GGUUAAGUGAAUAAGGGCGCACGGUGGAUGCCUUGGCACUAGGAGCCGAUGAAGGACGGGACUAACACCGAUAUGCUUCGGGGAGCUGUAAGUAAGCUUUGAUCCGGAGAUUUCCGAAUGGGGAAACCCAGCAUCUUUUAUAGGAUGUUACUUUUCAGUGAAUACAUAGCUGAUUAGAGGUAGACGCAGAGAACUGAAACAUCUAAGUACCUGCAGGAAGAGAAAGAAAAAUCGAUUCCCUGAGUAGCGGCGAGCGAAACGGGAAAAGCCCAAACCAAGAGGCUUGCCUCUUGGGGUUGUAGGACUCCGAUAUGGUAGUCCAGUGAGAUAGUCGAAGGACCUGGAAAGGUCUGCUAGAAAGGGUAAAAGCCCCGUAGACAAAAUUUGACUGGCACCUAGGAGGAUCCUGAGUACGGCGGAACACGAGGAAUUCCGUCGGAAUCCGGGAGGACCAUCUCCCAAGGCUAAAUACUCCCUAGUGACCGAUAGUGAACCAGUACCGUGAGGGAAAGGUGAAAAGCACCCCGGAAGGGGAGUGAAAUAGAUCCUGAAACCGUGUGCCUACAACAAGUUAGAGCCCGUUAAUGGGUGAUAGCGUGCCUUUUGUAGAAUGAACCGGCGAGUUACGAUUACUUGCGAGGUUAAGUUGAAAAGACGGAGCCGCAGCGAAAGCGAGUCUGAAUAGGGCGAAUGAGUAAGUGGUCGUAGACCCGAAACCAUGUGAUCUACCCAUGUCCAGGUUGAAGGUGCGGUAAAACGCACUGGAGGACCGAACCCACGUACGUUGAAAAGUGCGGGGAUGAGGUGUGGGUAGCGGAGAAAUUCCAAACGAACUUGGAGAUAGCUGGUUCUCUCCGAAAUAGCUUUAGGGCUAGCCUCAGAGUAAGAAUGAUGGAGGUAGAGCACUGUUUGGACUAGGGGCCCAUCUCGGGUUACCGAAUUCAGAUAAACUCCGAAUGCCAUCCAUUCAUCUCUGGGAGUCAGACUGUGAGUGAUAAGAUCCAUAGUCGAAAGGGAAACAGCCCAGACCACCAGCUAAGGUCCCCAAAUAACUAUUAAGUGGAAAAGGAUGUGGGGUUGCACAGACAACUAGGAUGUUGGCUUAGAAGCAGCCACCAUUUAAAGAGUGCGUAAUAGCUCACUAGUCGAGUGACCCUGCGCCGAAAAUGUACCGGGGCUAAAUAGUUUACCGAAGCUGUGGAACNNNNNNNNNNNNNNNNNNNNNNNNNNNNNNNNNNNNNNNNNNNNNNNNNNNNNNNNNNNNNNNNNNNNNNNNNNNNNNNNNNNNNNNNNNNNNNNNNNUAGUACCGAAGUUCCUGAUGUCACACUGCCGAGAAAAGCUUCUAGUGAGAAAACAAUGGCCCGUACCGCAAACCGACACAGGUAGUCGAGGAGAGAAUCCUAAGGUGAGCGAGAGAACUCUCGUUAAGGAACUCGGCAAAAUGACCCCGUAACUUCGGGAGAAGGGGUGCUGAUCUAACGAUCAGCCGCAGUGAAUAGGCCCAAGCGACUGUUUAUCAAAAACACAGGUCUCUGCAAAAUCGAAAGAUGACGUAUAGGGGCUGACGCCUGCCCGGUGCUGGAAGGUUAAGAGGAGUGCUUAGCGUAAGCGAAGGUACGAAUUGAAGCCCCAGUAAACGGCGGCCGUAACUAUAACGGUCCUAAGGUAGCGAAAUUCCUUGUCGGGUAAGUUCCGACCCGCACGAAAGGCGUAACGAUUUGGGCACUGUCUCAACGAGAGACUCGGUGAAAUUUUAGUACCUGUGAAGAUGCAGGUUACCCGCGACAGGACGGAAAGACCCCAUGGAGCUUUACUGCAGUUUGAUAUUGAGUGUUUGUACCACAUGUACAGGAUAGGUAGGAGCCGUAGAAGUCGGGACGCUAGUUUCGACAGAGGCGCUGGUGGGAUACUACCCUUGUGUUAUGACCACUCUAACCCGCACCACUAAUCGUGGUGGGAGACAGUGUCAGAUGGGCAGUUUGACUGGGGCGGUCGCCUCCUAAAGAGUAACGGAGGCGCCCAAAGGUUCCCUCAGAAUGGUUGGAAAUCAUUCGCAGAGUGUAAAGGCACAAGGGAGCUUGACUGCGAGACCUACAAGUCGAGCAGGGACGAAAGUCGGGCUUAGUGAUCCGGUGGUUCCGCAUGGAAGGGCCAUCGCUCAACGGAUAAAAGCUACCCUGGGGAUAACAGGCUUAUCUCCCCCAAGAGUCCACAUCGACGGGGAGGUUUGGCACCUCGAUGUCGGCUCGUCGCAUCCUGGGGCUGUAGUCGGUCCCAAGGGUUGGGCUGUUCGCCCAUUAAAGCGGCACGCGAGCUGGGUUCAGAACGUCGUGAGACAGUUCGGUCCCUAUCCGUCGCGGGCGUUGGAAAUUUGAGAGGAUCUGUCCUUAGUACGAGAGGACCGGGAUGGACUUACCGCUGGUGUACCAGUUGUCUCGCCAGAGGCAUCGCUGGGUAGCUAUGUAGGGAAGGGAUAAACGCUGAAAGCAUCUAAGUGUGAAGCCCACCUCAAGAUGAGAUUUCCCAUUUCUUUAAGAAAGUAAGAUCCCUGAGAGAAGAUCAGGUAGAUAGGUCAGGAGUGGAAGUGCAGUGAUGUACGGAGCGGACUGAUACUAAUCGAUCGAGGACUUAACCAA